rnacentral:lncRNA from 1 species
GGCCAAAAGAUUUUUCUUGAGUCAUUUACGAAUGAGAAUACACAGGAUGCGAUCUCCUCUUACUAGGAGCAAUCGAUUCUAUAUUGAUCUACUCACAAUCUUUGUACACACUUCUACCAUAUCCAGAACACCCCGUAUAUAUCUUAAAAUCAUGCUUGAGUAUGAACCAAAAUAUGAAUUCAUGUGCAUAAGAUUUUAUGGUAAUCUCAGGUCUAAAGAUCACUUGCACAACUUCCAC